rnacentral:rRNA from 1 species
GAUGAACGCUGGCGGCGUGCUUAACACAUGCAAGUCGAACGAGAAGUGAAGACGGAAACCUUCGGGCGGAAGGCUUUAUUUCGAGUGGCGGACGGGUGAGUAACGCGUGGGUAACCUGCCUCAUACAGGGGGAUAACAGUUGGAAACGACUGUUAAUACCGCAUCAGACCACAGCACCGCAUGGUGCGGGGGUAAAAACUCCGGUGGUAUGAGAUGGACCCGCGUUCGAUUAGCCAGUUGGCGGGGUAACGGCCCACCAAAGCGACGAUCGAUAGCCGAUCUGAGAGGAUGACCGGCCACAUUGGGACUGAGACACGGCCCAAGCUCCUACGGGAGGCAGCAGUGGGGAAUAUUGCACAAUGGGGGAAACCCUGAUGCAGCGACGCCGCGUGAGUGAAGAAGUAUUUCGGUAUGUAAAGCUCUAUCAGCAGGGAAGAAAAUGACGGUACCUGAGGAAGAAGCCCCGGCUAACUACGUG